AGUGAACGCUGGCGGUAGGCCUAACACAUGCAAGUCGAACGGCAGCACAGUAAGAGCUUGCUCUUACGGGUGGCGAGUGGCGGACGGGUGAGGAAUACAUCGGAAUCUACUUUUUCGUGGGGGAUAACGUAGGGAAACUUACGCUAAUACCGCAUACGACCUACGGGUGAAAGCAGUGGAUCUUCGGACCUUGCGCGUUUGAAUGAGCCGAUGUCGGAUUAGCUAGUUGGCGGGGUAAAGGCACACCAAGGCGACGAUGCGUAGCUGAUCUGAGAGGAUGAUCGGCCACACUGGAACUGAGACACGGUCCAGACUCCUACGGGAGGCAGCAGUGGGGAAUAUUCGGCAAUGGGCGCAAGCCUGAUCCAGCCAUACCGCGUGAGUGAAGAAGGCCUUCGGGUUGUAAAGCCCUUUUGUUGGGGAAGAAAAGCAGCAGGUUAAUACCCCGCUGUUCUGACGGUACCCAAAGAGUAAGCCCCGGCUAACUUCGUG
rnacentral:rRNA from 1 species